AGCACGUGUGUCACUCAUGCAUGCAUGACCAAACUUAAAACACGCGCGUAAACAUCAAAGUGGUAAACUAGUGAUGGGAAUGCAGUACUGUUUUAACAAACUCAAAUUAAUUACAGUUGAUAAUAUACUUAUGUUGUAUGAUACCAAGGCUGUAAACGCAAUUGGGAUAGGUGGCCGUAGCGUCUACUAAAGGGCCCUGAAUAAUUCAUCGGCAUAUUUAGCAGAAGUCCCGGCGACCGUAGCGCGGCUCCUAUUACCGGCAUCGCCACACGUUGUAUUGGACUUAAGCUGAGAGUAAAAGAUGAGUCAGUGAUAUCUUUGUGCCAGUGAUAAUGUAAUGUGAAUUAUAAAUGUGACGAUGUGGCGAGUUAAUGGUGAGACGAUGAAGCCAGUGUUAAUAAAGGCAGUGUUUCUUGUGAUGACUGCUGUGUUUGUGUCCGGGACCGGAGAGUGGA